rnacentral:lncRNA from 1 species
CCUGCCUGUCCCCUCCCGGGCAGGGCCCUGGGGCCAUUCUGUGCACCUUCAGCCGGCCCCGACGCAUAUUCAAACCCAGAAAUGUCCCGGAGUUCGCGAUCCUUUCCUCUUAUCGCUGCAGAUCGAUUCCAUCCCGAGCCAUUAUUUCUACAUGAAAAGGAGCCUUCCAGUGUGCGGAGUCAAAUCACAGGGAAUGACCCCGCCUCCGCCCCUGAUUUUCCCGGCUCUACUUGCCCCUGCCACCAAGGGAGAAAGAGAUGAGAUUUAGCAGCAGAACAACCACUCGGUAAGUUGGCUGGAGAAGUGAUGCACUAAGGU